UACGGAGGGUGCAAGCGUUAUCCGGAUUCACUGGGUUUAAAGGGUGCGUAGGUGGGAAUGUAAGUCAGUGGUGAAAUCUCCGUGCUUAACAUGGAAACUGCCAUUGAUACUAUGUUUCUUGAAUUUUUCUGGAGGUCAGCGGAAUAUGUCAUGUAGCGGUGAAAUGCUUAGAUAUGACAUAGAACACCAAUUGCGAAGGCAGCUGACUACAGGGACAUUGACACUGAGGCACGAAAGCGUGGGGAUCAAACAGG
rnacentral:rRNA from 1 species